CGUUGAUAGCCUAUCAAGUGUGCUCCAAAGAACACUGUCUCGGUGCAGCAUUUCAGCGAUAUGUUUAACCAACAUGUGCUCGCCUGUUUACAGGUUAUGUCCACUCCAAGGGCUCGCAAGUGACGUCGGCUGCCAUCGGUCAUCGACACCUGUCACAUGACGGCGGUCGGCUGCAGAUCGCUCUGUCGCACGUGCGCUUCUCCCCAGAGACGCAUGCGCGUCAGAGAAACUUGCCACUUCGUUCCGGGUUGCCUUAUUUAUAAACAUGGCGACGGAACCGCGCUUCGAUGAAUCUCUCGCCAGUGAAACUUCUUUCUUUGGCGAGUUAACACCGUGGGAAGAGCGGGUUCUGGAGCGUUGCCGAAAGGCUAACACAACAUUAUACAGCGACACUCCUGUUCUUCCCGACGGUGUGAGCUUCCAUGGAGUCGGAGAGCCCGUCACAGAUCCACCAACGCCACCGUCACCAACGCGACAUGACAACUGGUGUGCGUGUGGUAACUGCUCCGCAAUGCCGAUGGCGCGUGAGGAGGUGUGCUGCACCUCUAUUGCCGAAGUAAGGAGAAGAUGUCCAGACGGCUGCAUCGUAGAUCACUCGGACUUCCAAACUCUUUGCCUCACGACUGUUGUCAUGGAAGUUAUGGGCAUUCAAUACAAAAAGUGCGGAUUACUGCUUGGGAAGGAACCCAACGAGACUGCAUAUUCGCAGGUCAGUGUUUGGAUCAAUAUCCUGACGGUGAAUUAGAGAAAGCCACCUGCUUCUUGCUGGCUCAUUCGCCAGAACCUUAUGCGUACGACAGCCAGACGUCCAUUUCGUUUUCUGAUUCACGCAGCCCCGAAUGCCGCACGGCAUCGCUGCUCACCUAGUCGAUGGCACACUUGGAUACGGGACUUUCUCCACACAAAUAAAACAGAAUUUUUCAACUGAGCGCUGUCUGCAACUCCUAUCGCCUGUA